UGAUAUUUUGCCAACAAAGAAGAUAAAGUUUUCACAUCAGCGCCGACGAUUCUGUCCAAUUCUUGACCCUUACGAAACAAUACCAUGGUAGGCAAGGCAUAAACACCGUUCUUUUGAGCAAUAUCAGAAAAUUUAUCUGCAUUAACAGCAAUAAAAGAUGCUUUCUGAUUUUGUUCGCUUAAUUUUUCAAGAAACGGUUUGAGGUAUUUGCAAGGACCGCACCAGUCUGCAUAGAAAUCAACGACGGUAACUUUGUCAGCACUAGUAGCAAUUAGCAAGGAGAUCUA